GGCUCUUAGCCUGCUCGUGCACUUUGCCAUCGCAGCCAAAGAUGAAGACAUUUUCCCAGGCAAUAGUCGAAACCGAACCGAACGGUCAGCCAAAUCAUUCACGUAACAUGUAAAAAAGUUAUAUUAAGGAUGAGCGACCAUCACGUGGGUGUCACCGCAUUUGCCUUUCUAUUAAGGCGAAUCGCAUUCUUUGUUUAUUAUUAAGCAAUAAAUUAAUAAAAAAAAAAC